AAGAAAAUGGAACAACCCAACUCUGCGCAUCAUUUGUUGGGAGCGAUAUGCUUGCCUUGCAAUCAUGAACAUAAUGUUAUUCUUUUGCUGACUUCCAAGUUUAGGCCUAACAGCACAUUUUUGUUGACAAUCUGACUCUGGAGCCUUCUCUGCACCGCAUUGGGGAGCUGUCAUCGUGCUGCCAAGUGGAGGGCCAUCUUGACACAAAGAUCAGUAGAGGAUCUUGCCCUGGAUAAGAAUGUCAAAAAGUUACAGCCUUUGGUAUGUGGUACCAAGCUACCAAUUGGUAAAUUGUUUUUGUUUUCUCUUCUAUUUUUCAUAAAAGUUACAAAUUUGAUGCCUAGACGAUACAUAUUACAAAUCAUAAAUUGUCUACAUGAGUGUACAAAGAAGAACACAUAAAAGGGCUAAGAAUUAUUAGCUUGCAUACAGUAUAUAGAUGACACAGUGCCUUAAGAAUAUACUGUAUAUACUCACAUAAGAGCUGUACUUUUUUUUGCAAUCUUCCCCAGGUGCGGCUCUUACACGGGGGUAGGCCACUGUGGUCAGAUUUUUCUAACCGUGUGUAAUAAUCUUGAUUUCAUUGUGCAAAAAAAAAAAAAAAAAAAAAAGAAGCGAGGGCUGCUGUUUUCAUAAUGCAUAUAUAUUUGUUCAGGCGAGCACAUCACGCAUCUGGUGCCGGGUGCAUGAGGUAUUUGAGGACAUAAUGAUGACUUCAGUAAUAGCAUCAACAUUUCAGACAACAUUCCGUAAACUCAUUUUAAGUAUUUUUUUUAGCGUUCCUUUUGCUGCUUUUUUUAUAAGACUAUAAUGAAAUUAUUGAUUGGAUUCGAGUUCGAUAGUGCCUAUACACUCAGAUCACAUAGUGCAUGUUGAUGUUGGGCAGUGCUUUCACAACAGCAGGCUUUAGCAAGUUUUUAUCGUUGUGUGGCUGUUUGUUAGUCUUUCUCUCAGUGAUACCCAUCAUACAUAGCGGCGUGCAGGCUUAGAUAUUUGGAGCUAGGACGCCAUAUUGAGGGUGACGUGGUCACUGAAGUUUGCAACCAGAUGUUCUUGGGUGGCAAAGGAACUGUGUGUGCAUGCAAAUCCAUAACUUAGGAGUGGCACCUAAUAAAAUCGAGGAAAGGAAGCUUGAUUUUUUAUUCUACCAUGUGAAGCUGAUCGGCAGUGGCCAUAAUGGGCUUUUCAGGGUUCUCAGUCAUCGUGACCUCCAACCGCUAGAGAAAUUUAACCGUCUGAAUGACAUCUAACCCCUGACAGAGCUUAAAUGUCUUUGUCACAGAUGAGAAUUGGCCACGAACUCUUGUCUCACCCAAAAAAAAAAAAAAAAACCAAUUUGCGACAUUUAAGAAGGUGGUGAUCUCCAAGUCGCUGUGGUCGGCAUGCAAGGCGACUAGUGGAAUGUACUGUUUCAUCUCCAAUGUCAGACUGAACGCCGAUACCCUGGAAUAAAUGUGCUAGAUAGGUGACCGAGCGAUUGGUGUGGACGAUGUUAAGUGCCUAGAUAGAUGGAACAGGAAUGUUAAUGUUUUAUGGCGAUUCAAAGUCGUGUCCUAAAAUACUUUGUGCACCCCGUAUAGUCCUCACUACUGUCGCAGUCACCGCUGCUCAGAUUCAGUUCAAUAGCACACUAAUGGAUACAGUCGUCCUCAGUGCCCUUCAUGGCAUUACAUAUGACUUCGGCACCAAAGCUUUUCACAACACUGUCCGAAGACCGUGCACGGCACACACAUGCAAUCCAAGAGCAUGCACACAAGCUGCGAUGCUCUCUUCAGUCUUUGAAUUCUUGUAUUUCAACUUUUUUUUUCUUUUGGGGGGGGGGAGGCUGCCAAGUAGGUGGUGCGGUCCUUAUUCGAGUAUAUAAGGUAUAUGAUGCGGUCCUUCACGCAUGUGACAGCAGCAGUUAAGGGGAGAUGCUUCUCAGAAAAACUUUUAUUUAUUACAACAAUGGACACUCCAAGGAAAUUUUUGCUGUUGUUGUCGCUGUGAG